rnacentral:rRNA from 1 species
CAACCUGCCCACCACUUGGGGAUAACCUUGCGAAAGUAAGACUAAUACCCAAUGAUAUCUCUAGAAGACAUCUGAAAGAGAUUAAAGAUUUAUCGGUGAUGGAUGGGGAUGCGUCUGAUUAGCUUGUUGGCGGGGUAACGGCCCACCAAGGCAACGAUCAGUAGGGGUUCUGAGAGGAAGGUCCCCCACAUUGGAACUGAGACACGGUCCAAACUCCUACGGGAGGCAGCAGUGAGGAAUAUUGGUCAAUGGACGAGAGUCUGAACCAGCCAAGUAGCGUGCAGGAAGACGGCCCUAUGGGUUGUAAACUGCUUUUAUAAGGGAAUAAAGUUAGUCUCGUGAGACUUUUUGCAUGUACCUUAUGAAUAAGGACCGGCUAAUUCCGUGCCAGCAGCCGCGGUAAUACGGAAGGUCCGGGCGUUAUCCGGAUUUAUUGGGUUUAAAGGGAGCGUAGGCCGGAGAUUAAGCGUGUUGUGAAAUGUAGAUGCUCAACAUCUGAACUGCAGCGCGAACUGGUUUCCUUGAGUACGCACAAAGUGGGCGGAAUUCGUGGUGUAGCGGUGAAAUGCUUAGAUAUCACGAAGAACUCCGAUUG